rnacentral:rRNA from 1 species
UUACUGGGCGUAAAGACGCAUGCAGGUGGUUUGUUUAAGUUACAGAUGUGAAAGACCCGGGGCGUCAACCUACGGAAUAGCAUUUGUAAACUAGGCAGACUAGAGUACUGUAGAGGGGGGUAGGAAUUUCUAGGUGUAGCGGUGAAAUAGCGUAGAGAUCUGAAGGAAUACCGGUGGCGAAGGCGGCCCCCCUCGGACAGAUACUGACACUCAGAUGCGAAAAGCGUGGGGAGCAAACAGGAUUAGAUACCCCUGGUAG